GCAGCCAGCUGUGGCAGGGUAUGGCAGGGUGGGACACCUAAGUUUUGUAAAGCCCACUGUUUUUUAGGUAAACUUGCUGUGACUUGUGUUUAUUUCCUUUAAGUAUUCAGUAAUGUCUUAUGGCUUUAUCUCAACAAUGCUCUGCAGAAAGGAGUUUCUGUCUCUUGGCAAAGCCAAGAGAAUUCAAAUGGAUAAGCUAUGAGCAAGGUGAAGCAGGGGAAGAGAACUGGAAGCUCAUGUUUGUGAUCUCCCAGAGAGUCUUGGUGUAGUGCGGUGUGUCCUAUUGCUAUCAUAUAAAGGGGCCAGAUUCUUCCCUAAGGUAGUCCCUGUUGGGACCCAGGGAGUCAGAGAGGAGAGACAAGCUGUUCAGGGCAGGCUGGAAGCUUGCUGGGGCUGGAGCAGGAGGGGACCAGCUUCAUAUGCACAGCUUAUGUGCCUGACAGUGAAAACCAAAGUGUCUGAACCUGGGAAGAUGGUGUGAGACUGCCUCGCUAGGUCUAUCAUAAGCUCAUUUGUGACUCGUGCAUGUGUCUCACUAUAAAAGAAUAGAGGAGCUGGGGUUGUAGCUCAGUGGUAGAGCACUUCAUCCUAAGUAUGAGGUGCUGGGUUCGAUCCUCAGCACCACAUAAAAAUAAAGAAAAUAAAGGUAUCGUGUCCAUCUACAUCUAAAAAGAAAAAAGAAAAAAAAAAGAUUUUAAAAGCAAGGCUUCCCAUGAAGGGAGCCCAGGGCAUUGCUCAUGGUGUGUCCACCACAAGCCUCCCUCAAGAGCCUUGAAUUCUGCUCCCAUCCUGGACCAUGCCCAGCAAUCUUCACUACGGCUGCUUCAUGAACUCUGUUACUGCUUCUGUUUCCAACAAUGUCCAGAAAUGACUCUGGAGGACUGGGGGUGGGGGGUGGGGUUAAAGUUUGUGCACAGAAAGAAGGCCGUGCAGCGCCUGUGGCCUGAGCCACCUGGGAAAGGUGAGUUUUGGUCAGGUUCUGGUCACACUGCCAUUCCGAUUUCAGAAAGAGAGAAGCAAGAUCAGUCAGUCACUGGAGGGUUCCAGGAUGUGGUGCACUGACCCCCAAACCUGGCAGCACACCUCAGUCUCCUGGGAUGCUUUCCAAAAUACAUUUCUCUGGUUCCUAGUCCACACUCAGACAGGUCUUAGAUGGGAAAGACCAGGAUUAAAACACGAACUUUAUACAGUUAAUUAGUUCUAACUCCUUUACUUAGCAGUGUGACCUUGAGUAGAUCACAUAACCUUUCCAAACCAGUUGUUUUUUUUUUUUUUAAUUUAUU
rnacentral:lncRNA from 1 species